rnacentral:rRNA from 1 species
AACAAACGCUGGCGGCGUGCCUAACACAUGCAAGUCGUACGAGAAAGGGUCCUUCGGGGCCUGAGUAAAGUGGCGCACGGGUGAGUAACGCGUGGAUAAUCUGCCCUUCAGUUGGGAAUAACUCAUCGAAAGGUGGGCUAAUACCGAAUAAUGCUGUGAGACCUCGGUUGAUCAGCCAAAGAGAGCCUCUGCUUGCAAGCCCUCGCUGAAGGAUGAGUCCGCGUACCAUUAGCUAGUUGGUAGGGUAAUGGCCUACCAAGGCGACGAUGGUUAGCUGGGCUGAGAGGAUGAUCAGCCACACUGGAACUGAGACACGGGCCAGACUCCUACGGGAGGCAGCAGUGAGGAAUCUUGCGCAAUGGGGGCAACCCUGACGCAGCAACGCCGCGUGAGUGAGGAAGGUCUUCGGAUCGUAAAGCUCUGUCGGAUGGAAAGAACCGCAUAGGGGUAAACAGCCCCUGUGUCUGACGGUACCAUCAAAGGAAGCACCGGCUAACUCCGUGCCAGCCGCCGCCGUAAAAC